AUACGGAGGGUGCAAGCGUUGUCCGGAUUUAUUGGGUUUAAAGGGUGCGUAGGUGGUUUUUUAAGUCAGUGGUGAAAGCCUACAGCUUAACUGUAGAGGUGCCAUUGAAACUGGGGAACUUGAGUAUGGACGAGGUAGGCGGAAUUUGUGGUGUAGCGGUGAAAUGCAUAGAUACCACAAAGAACACCGAUAGCGAAGGCAGCUUACUAGGCCAUAACUGACACUGAGGCACGAAAGUGUGGGGAGCGAACAGGAUUAGAAACCCCAGUAGUCC
rnacentral:rRNA from 1 species